UUCUGUAUUACCAAUUAGCUCAGGAGCUUCCUAUGAAUAGAAGUGUACUAAAAAGGCACUAGUGCAUAAAACCUCCUCUUGAAAUUUAAACCAAUCCCUAUAGAAGAAUGAAAUGGCAGGAAUUUGUGGUAUCAAAUCCAGAUAAGUACGGGUGUCAGUGUCCCUUAAACACAACAGAGAACUCUAAUCAAAGCCAGUUAGUUAAACAUUCCCUUGGACUCAACUUUGGAAAUAAUGGCCCAGAUCUAAAAACACUCAGGAGCUAAGGGCAGAAAAGUAACCCAGCCUUGAGCAACAUUUAUCUUCUGCCUUGGUAAGCUAAAUAA